AUAAAUAAAUGUGAAGUCGUCAGCAGAAAUGCUUUCAAAUGAGGUCGACGUUUUAUGACGCUAAACGUGUUUUUGUGUGACGUUAAAUAACUGCACUUGAUUAGUUGAAAUUCAUUCAAGUGAACUGAAACAUAUAUAACUUGUGAUCUUGGUAACUAGUUCACACAUAAAAAGGCACUGACCCCUCGCGAAGUUAUUGCUUAUAAUGUAAACAACGUUUUUAAAGUUUGUUGAGUGUAACCAUUGCUUUGUUGUUGAAAUUGAAAUACCCAUUGGGGUUAAACGAGCGUAGAGUAACUCUACGAUGUUGAAAUUUACUGUCAAAGUUGGAUAGAUCUACGCUAAUUUACAAUGGAACAAUAUAUAAACUGCUAUUGAUUGACGUGGAGGAUUUGAAAUAUUAAGAAGUUGAUAUUCCGCAUCAGGUGAACAGAUACUUCAUGAAUUAUAUGAAUCACCAGGGAAAGGACCCGACUACUUGCACAGAUGCAUCCUGCCGGGUGAAAGAAGGGAUGAUCACUUUGGCAACAGAUUGUUCAACUGCUUAAAUAUUGAUGUGGACUCAGUCAAAGGAUUUGCUGUAACUCUGUACGUCUCUUCACUAUGUGGACCUAAAGCGCUACAGCUGGUUGGAGAUUAAGAUCACCAUGUACUGUUUUAAUAGAGAACAUCUGUGAAUAUUUAUUCUAACAAUUGAAAUUCAAACCUGAAUUAUUAUAAUUAGAAAACAUUUUCAUGUACAUGCUGGAAUUUUAUUUGAAGUGUAGAACUAAAAUAAUUUAGAAUUAUUAUUUUUAAACACAAACACAGUUUUAUUAUAGAAAUAAUUGUAUAAACUUAAGAGAAAUCAGUGUUUAAGUGAUGCAUUUAAUUUAGUGUUUGACCUAUUUAAUACCUUAACUAUGUUUUUUUAUGUUGAUUGUAAUGGUAAUCAAAAAAACAAUAAGCUGACAUCCAAAGGGUUUUAACUUUAAAGGGAAUUGUUCACAGAUUCAGGCAUUUUAUAAAGUAUGUCUGUAGAAGCCUUUAAUUGCUAGAUUUUAACCUCAAAAUAGAAAUGUAGAACAGAUAAAAACACCAGAAAAAAUAUUAGUAUCCAUGGGGGUCCUUAAAUUAUUUUACCUAUAACACUCGGCCAAUUUUAUAUUUAAGCCUUCAUUUUAUACUUGAUAUAUGUGAUCCAUGUGAAAUAACAAAAUUUAACAGAAAAAACAGAAUCAUUAAAAAUUAUCCAAUCAUUACCUUGUUCAAUUGUAUCCAUUACACAUGAUGAUUACUCAUAAAAAAGCUGUAUUUUCAGUUUGAGUCUAUAUCAUUAGUGGCAUUUUGCUCCCUGAUUUACAGUAUUAUUGUUUAUUUUGUAUCCGUUCCUUAAUUUUGGAAAAUGGUCAGUUUUACUAUCUGUGCACAAUUCCGUUUGAUCUUUAUUCUUAGUUUUGUGAUCAAUGGAAUGCCUAAUACCAUUUCAAUAGUAAAUGAGAUUACGGGUAAGUACUUGUUAAACAAAAGGCCGUAAAACGUGCAAAGCCCUUCUUUAUUGUAUCUCAAAAUGUGAAAAGCAAUUCUAAGAUUUUUAUGUUUUCUUCCAUUUAAUUACUUUUUUGAGUUAUAAUGCCCUACUUAUUAUAAGUAAAUGUAAUUUGUGUAAGAUUAAAAUGCAUUUACUUGUUCUUAUAAAAAUAAUAACAUAUGAAAAUAUACAAUUUUGUGUUGUGUAGUACAUUUGCUUCCAUGGCAACCAAUUUAUUUAAAUGAUACCAUUGUUAUUUUUUUUACA